UACGUAGGCAGCGAGCGUUGUUCGGAGUUACUGGGCGUAAAGGGUGUGUAGGCGGUUUUCUAAGUUUGGUGUGAAAUCUCCCGGCUCAACCGGGAGGGUGCGCCGAAAACUGGGAGACUAGAGUGCGGGAUGGGAGAGUAGAAUUCCUGGUGUAGCGGUGAAAUGCGUAGAUAUCAGGAGGAAUACCGGUGGGGGAGACGGCUCUCUGGACCGCCACUGACGCUGAGACACGAAAGCGUGGGUAGCAAACAGG
rnacentral:rRNA from 1 species